UGAGCACGCUGAUGUCUGCUGC
rnacentral:miRNA from 1 species